rnacentral:lncRNA from 1 species
AAAAAGAAUAUUUUCCUCUGAACGCUUUUCAUAAUAUAGUGAUGAUACAUGAAGCACAUUCUAAUUGGAAUAACCUGUAUCCUACCUUUUGAUAAUUGAGAUGUCAGAUUGGUGAGAGAUUAGGUAGACAUAUUGAGGACUGUAACACUGAUAGUUAAUAUCUGGUUUCGUGCUUAGAGAGCAAACCAAGUUAAAUUUGGUGUGACCUGGGAAUAGAUGAAGUUUGUUGACAAGUAGAAAGUAACACAGUGCACUGAGUAUUGACCGUUAAGUACUCUGUUUGCGUUUUACUCCUACUGUCAAGAUUUCAACUCACUAGACACUGUCUUAACACAUCUUAGAUAUCUCUUUCCUAUGAGUAUAACUUGCUUUUGUUUUCUUUUUGCUGUGUUUACUCACAUGUUUUUAUAGUCAAAAGAAACUUGUCAGGUGAAAAUAUAAUGGUGAAUUUUAAAAUGAAACUCAUGGCUGUUUUACUUUCAACUGCUGUUCCAAUAAUGUCUCUAACCACCUUACAUGCUCAGUAAAUGUCUGCUGUGACUGCUUUUGGUUUUACUUGAUGAUGACAGCUCUAGAGAUGGAAAGAAAUGUCACCAAAUGUAUUUUAAGGAUAAAAAUCUUACCAAAUUGUGUUUGUGAAUAUGAAGUUUGGCAGUAACUACUGAUUUUUCAAAGAUGCUUUGUAGCAUUUUUAAAGU